rnacentral:misc_RNA from 1 species
AAAUAAACCAUACACUCAAAAUUUUUGAAGAAAUAUAAAUAUGAUUGUUAUUUGAAAUAAAAAUAAAAUUUAUAAAAAUUUUGGGGAGAAAGUUAAAUUUAUAUUGGAGUUAAAGGAGAGGGCUUAGAAGUGUUGAGGUUAAAAUGGAAUUGGGAAAGAGUUGAGGGACCGAAGUGGAUUUUUUUUGUUAAAAGUAGAUAGCUGAUCCACUAACCCACGUGAACUCCAGCA